rnacentral:rRNA from 1 species
CGAGACCUCAGGUCAGGCGGGGCUACCCGCUGAAUUUAAGCAUAUCAAUAAGCGGAGGAAAAAGAAACUAACAAGGAUUCCCUUAUAACGG